UGUUCUGUUGUGUCUGUUCUGUUGUGUCUGUUCUGUUCUGUCUGUUGUGUCUGUUCUGUCUGUUCUGUCUGUGUGUCUGUUGUGUCUGUCUGUUGUGUCUGUUGUGUCUGUUCUGUCUGUUGUGUCUGUUCUGUUCUGUCUGCUGUUGAUGGAUGGUGGAUGUAUUUAUUCUAGGUAUGUGGUUGAUGGGGGAAGUCAUGAGAGGGAGGGAGGAGGGGCCUGGCUCCUACCUUCCCCAGCCACAGUGAGCCCAAAUCGGGCUGAUGUUCACUUUCCACUGGGCUGGACCAUAACUGGCCCUGGAGCUCAGCUGAGCAUCAGCAGUCCUGGCCACAGCCACAGCUCAGAAAGGAUGGCGGCAGGCGGACACACACACACAACACACAACACACACACACACACACACACACACACACACACACACACACACACAUACACACAUACACACAUACACACACACACGUGGCGUCAAGCGGCCCCAGCGGGCAUUGUUUUUGUUUGUGUUGUGUGGUGAUGUUGAGAGCCGGCCUCUCCAUGCCUGGCUGUGCCCUGUAGCUCAGUAGAGCGCCACCCUGCAUGGGCAGUUUGGAGCCUCCAGUCAGACCAGACUAGUUUAGAUAAACCAGUCCAGUACAGAGGAGUCAGCGUCUUGUCACUGGACAGAGAGAGAGCCCUGCCCAGUCCGCUCAUAUCAGUCUUACUUCACUUUCUUAUUUCAAAUGUAUUUGACAGUGUAAAUGCUAAAUCAACAUGUCUGUAAAUGUGCCAGAUUCUUCCUGCACGCUACUUUUCAACUGUGGUCCCACUGUGAGGUUGGUUCCAUGUUCUGGCCUCUGGCCAAAGCAGCAUCAUUGCCCACUGAAGGAACACUGUAAUGGGUUUUUACAUGAGUUUGGUCACACAUCCACCAUAGUUGUUGGAACCAACUAUCAGAGCCAGCACAGUUGGGCUCAGGUCAGCUCAGCAGUGUGAAAAGGGCAGUGCUGAGGUAUUUUAGUCAGCGGCAUCACCUUUUUCUGACCCGAUGAUAGAUAGAUGUAAAUGUUCUCAAAUGAUAGCUUUGAUGAAAUGAAUUCUGAGUGAAAUAAAUGAUUGAGUCCUUCUAUCCCAGAUUAGACCACCAUGAGAAUUAUACAGGCCUCUAACUCCCCUCCCCAGUCCCUCCUCACGACCAAAAACAAACUGUCUCUCCCUCUCUCUCUCUGGGCUGACUGGUCAGGACGUGUAAACCGGCCCUAAUUGGCCUGACGACAAGCCAUAAAAAUUACCCACAUCCCCCCCACACACACACACACGCACACGCACACACACACAUCCUAAAUCUGCCACUCUUUCAGAAGCUCAGAAGUAAUCAUGCUGCAGACGUGUGUGGAUUGCCAGGCUUUUCCUGUGGGCCUGGAUUAGAGGAUUGAAGUGUGUGUGUGGCUUUGAGUUCAGUUAUGCGCUCGUGUGUGUGUCAGCUUUGUCUGCCUGUGUGUCUGCCUUCAAACACGCACGUGUUUAAGUCUAACUCCAUGUUAAUUACUUGCUCUCCUUGUUACCCCGUCCACCCUCCUCUUUUCUCUUUUUGGUAAAUUGAAGGAGGGAAUAAACAGGUGUUUGUUGGACGAGGCAGUCGUCUCAUUCCUGCAGGGUCAGGGGUCAGAGGUCAGGGGGAAUGAGCCCCAUAGCAACAGGAUGUUUGAAACUCUGUAUUCUCUGAGAUUAGGGUAGUGUGUGAGUAGACGUGUGUGUUUGGAGUUAAAAUGACUAAUGAGGGUAGAGGGAUGUAAAGUCUGAUCUGUGAUCAAGGUCCAUUCCUAAGCAAGCUGUGUGCCAGCCAGGCCUCUUUGGAAAGGUGCAUCACACACACACACACAGAGACAUACACACACACACACUGGACUACACACACACACACACACACACACACACACACACACACACACACACACACACACACACACACACACACACACACACACACACACACACACACACACACACACACACACACACACACACACACAGAGACACACUGGACUACACACACACACACACACACACACACACACACACACACACACACACACACACACACACACACAGACACACUGGACUACACACACUGGACUACACACACACACAGACACACUGGACUACAUACACACACACACACACACUGGACUGCACACAGACACACACAGAAACAUCCCACAUCUAGAUCUUAGACAGGUGAAGAGUAAGAUCAUUCAUUCUAUAUUACUUGUCCAUUGGUUUUAGCGCCACUAUUUGCAGACACACGUCCAUUUUCAGAGGUAUGUCAUGUCCACUGUUGGCCAUAACCAGCUGGCCAGCCUCGACACAUCGUGAGAGCAGUAUUGUGAUAAAAAGGAUUAUGGGUACUAAUCCGUGCCUGUCACCACCCUCUGCUCAGUAUAAAUAUAAGUAAACACACACCCUCGCAAACCUAGCUCUGCUCUGAGCACCCUCACUACCAUAGACAUGGGUUUAAAUAGUAUUUGUUUUCUUUACAAAUAAUUUACCUGUGCUCGAUUGCGCUUGCCGGACGCAAUGGAGCCAAUAGAGUUGUCACAAAAGUUCAAGACCCUCCCAUCUGACGCCUAUCGCUCCAGGCAGGUUUGAUCAGACGCUCCACGUAUUUGAAGGCAAACGAUACUAUUUAAACCCAGUGUUGCUGCACACACUACAGAGCUAACUAAACAGCUUUAGAUCUGAGUUAAGCUAUAGGUUUGUAAUAUCAGCCCCAAACCAUGCAGGGAACAGCUGAACCACUAGGUCCACAUCUCAGACAGGUACCAGUUCAUAGUAUCACUCACAGACCAUCACAGCUGAAAACAGGCCCAGCACAUCUCAGGCAGGUACCAGUUCAUAGGAUCACUCACAGACCAUCACAGCUGAGAACAGGCCCAGCACAUCUCAGACAGGUACCAGUUCAUAGGAUCACUCACAGACCAUCACAGCUGAGAACAGGCCCAGCACAUCUCAGACAGGUACCAGUUCAUAGGAUCACUCACAGACCAUCACAGCUGAGAACAGGCCCAGCACAUCUCAGACAGGUACCAGUUCAUAGGAUCACUCACAGACCAUCACAGCUGAGAACAGGCCCAGCACAUCUCAGACAGGUACCAGUUCAUAGGAUCACUCACAGACCAUCACAGCUGAGAACAGGCCCAGCACAUCUGACAGGUACCAGUUCAUAGGAUCACUCACAGACCAUCACAGCUGAAAACAGGCCCAGCACAUCUCAGACAGGUACCAGUUCAUAGGAUCACUCACAGACCAUCACAGCUGAGAACAGGCCCAGCACAUCUCAGACAGGUACCAGUUCAUAGGAUCACUCACAGACCAUCACAGCUGAGAACAGGCCCAGCACAUCUCAGACAGGUACCAGUUCAUAGGAUCACUCACAGACCAUCACAGCUGAGAACAGGCCCAGCACAUCUGACAGGUACCAGUUCAUAGGAUCACUCACAGACCAUCACAGCUGAGAACAGGCCCAGCACAUCUCAGACAGGUACCAGUUCAUAGGAUCACUCACAGACCAUCACAGCUGAGAACAGGCCCAGCACAUCUCAGACAGGUACCAGUUCAUAGGAUCACUCACAGACCAUCACAGCUGAGAACAGGCCCAGCACAUCUCAGACAGGUACCAGUUCAUAGGAUCACUCACAGACCAUCACAGCUGAGAACAGGCCCAGCACAUCUCAGACAGGUACCAGUUCAUAGGAUCACUCACAGACCAUCACAGCUGAGAACAGGCCCAGCACAUCUCAGACAGGUACCAGUUCAUAGGAUCACUCACAGACCAUCACAGCUGAGAACAGGCCCAGCACAUCUCAGACAGGUACCAGUUCAUAGGAUCACUCACAGACCAUCACAGCUGAGAACAGGCCCAGCACAUCUCAGACAGGUACCAGUUCAUAGGAUCACUCACAGACCAUCACAGCUGAGAACAGGCCCAGCACAUUUCAGCACAGCAUCAAAUCUGUUCUCUGCUGUGGAAUCUACAGAUGGGUAUACAGAUCCAGCGUUCAUGAUGCACUGCUAGCUUGAAAGCCCGUUCGGACUGUGUAUACAGCGCUGUGUGAUAGAUGGCGACCGUCGUCUCGGGGGGACGAAUCAGGGCCCUCGCAGCUUGACCCCAGGGCGGCGUGCUGCCGGAGAGUUAUGGAAGCUGUGCCGGCCGGCCAUGUUUUUCUGUUUGUGUUGAAUGGUGUGACUGGAGAGUUACUGCUGUUGCUAUGUUGAAUAUGAACAUUUUUAAGAGGGAGGGAGGGAGGUUAGUCUCUUGUUGAAAAGGGGCUUGGUGAAGUACGAGCGGUUGGCUAGUCUCUUGUUGAAAGGGGGCUUGGUGAAGUACGAGCGGUUGGCUAGUCUCUUGUUGAAAGGGGGCUUGGUGAAGUACGAGCGGUUGGCUAGUCUCUUGUUGAAAGGGGGCUUGGUGAAGUACGAGCGGUAGUCUAAUCUCUUGUUGAAAGGGGGCUUGGUGAAGUACGAGCGGUUGGCUAGUCUCUUGUC